CAACACCGGUUCCUGUACGAUCAGCCAAGUUAAGCAUCGUCGAGCCUGGUCAGUACUGAGAUGGGUGACUGCUUUGGAAUACAAGGAACUGUAA